UACGGAGGGAGCUAGCGUUGUUCGGAAUUACUGGGCGUAAAGCGUGCGUAGGCGGUUGGCAAAGUCAGCUGUGAAAGCCCCGGGCUUAACCUGGGAAUGGCGGUUGAAACUAGUCGACUCGAAUCUGGCAGAGGGGGGUGGAAUUCCACGUGUAGCAGUGAAAUGCGUAGAGAUGUGGAGGAACACCGAUGGCGAAGGCAGCCCCCUGGGCUGAGAUUGACGCUCAGGCACGAAAGCGUGGGGAGCGAACAGG
rnacentral:rRNA from 1 species